GGCGCACGGGUGAGUACGCGUGGGAACCUGCCCUGGAGUGGGGGAUAACCCGGCGAAAGCCGGGCUAAUACCGCAUACGUGCCUGAGGGAGAAAGAUUUAUCGCUCUAGGAGUGGGCCCGCGUCGGAUUAGCUAGUUGGUGAGGUAACGGCUCACCAAGGCGACGAUCCGUAGCUGGUCUGAGAGGAUGAUCAGCCACACUGGGACUGAGACACGGCCCAGACUCCUACGGGAGGCAGCAGUGGGGAAUAUUGGACAAUGGGGGCAACCCUGAUCCAGCAAUGCCGCGUGAGUGAUGAAGGCCUUAGGGUUGUAAAGCUCUUUCGCCCGCGACGAUGAUGACGGUAGCGGGAGAAGAAGCCCCGGCUAACUUCGUGCCAGCCGCCGCGG
rnacentral:rRNA from 1 species